GACUCGUUGGCGGAAUGGUAGCACGUCUGACUCCAGAUCAGAAGGCUGCGUGUUCAAAUCACGUCCGGGUCA
rnacentral:tRNA from 13 species